UACGUAGGGGGCAAGCGUUGUCCGGAAUUAUUGGGCGUAAAGGGCGUGUAGGCGGCCAGGUAGGUCUGCUGUGAAAACUCGAGGCUCAACCUCGAGAUGUCGGCGGAAACCAUCUGGCUAGAGUCCGGAAGAGGAGAAUGGAAUUCCCGGUGUAGCGGUGAAAUGCGCAGAUAUCGGGAAGAACACCCGUGGCGAAGGCGGUUCUCUGGGACGGUACUGACGCUGAGACGCGAAAGCGUGGGGAGCGAACAGG
rnacentral:rRNA from 1 species